rnacentral:rRNA from 1 species
GACAGAGGGUGCAAACGUUGUUCGGAAUUACUGGGCGUAAAGCGUGUGUAGGUGGCUGCGUAAGUCGGAUGUGAAAGCCCUGGGCUCAACUCAGGAAGUGCACUCGAUACUGCGUAGCUCGAGUACCGGAGAGGUUGGUGGAAUUCUCGGUGUAGAGGUGAAAUUCGUAGAUAUCGAGAGGAACACCUGUGGCGAAGGCGGCCAACUGGACGAGUACUGACACUGAGACACGAAAGCGUGGGGAGCACACAGG